rnacentral:rRNA from 1 species
GACGAACGCUGGCGGCGUGCUUAACACAUGCAAGUCGCACGGAGUGGCGACCGGGUGAGUAACACGUGGGUGACCUGCCCUGCACUUCGGGAUAAGCCUGGGAAACUGGGACUAAUCCCGGAUAGUGUGGGGUGGGCCCGCGGCCUAUCAGCUUGUUGGUGGGGUAAUGGCCUACCAAGGCGGCGACGGGUAGCCGGCCUGAGCGGGUGGACGGCCACAUCGUGACUGAGGCACGGCACAGACUCCUACUGGAGGCAGCAGGGGGGAAUAGUGCACAAUGGGCGGAAGCCUGAUGCAGCGACGCCGCGUGGGGGAUGACGGCCUUCGGGUUGGAAACUCCUUUCUCCAUCGACGCGGUAGAUGGAGAAGAAGCACCGGAUAAAUACAUGCCAGCCGCCGCGGUAAUUC